CUGAGCCGUAUGCGGUGAAAGUCGCUUGUACGGUUCUUUGGGGAGGGAGUAGCGGAGACGCUGCUCUCUUACCCGCU
rnacentral:ncRNA from 1 species